GAGCUGUGAAGAAAAUGGUUUAGCGAUGGUUGGGUCCAUCGCAUUCAUCUGAUUUCCAGAUGGUAUAGCCACACCCUGAGCUC
rnacentral:snoRNA from 2 species